rnacentral:rRNA from 1 species
AAAAAGCUUCCGUAGGUGAACCUGCGGAAGGAUCAUUA